UUUAGGGAACAGCAUGGGGCUGCAAAGGAAGGGCUGCUGCCUGAACUCAAAGUACUAAGAAGGCCAGCCACUACCCAUACAGCGGGUCACUGACAGCUUCUUGUAUAUGCUGUACUUGAAAUGCC
rnacentral:lncRNA from 1 species